rnacentral:tRNA from 1 species
GGCCUCGUGGCCAAAUGGAUAAGGUGUCUGACUACGGAUCAGAAGAUUCCAGGUUCGAGUCCCCCAGGUUCGAGUCCUGGCGUGGUCG